rnacentral:rRNA from 1 species
UGGGGAAUAUUGCACAAUGGGGGAAACCCUGAUGCAGCGACGCCGCGUGAGCGAAGAAGGUUUUCGAAUCGUAAAGCUCUGUCCUAUGAGAAGAUAAUGACGGUAUCAUAGGAGGAAGCCCCGGCUAAAUACGUGCCAGCAGCCGCGGUAAUACGUAUGGGGCGAGCGUUGUCCGGAAUUAUUGGGCGUAAAGGGUACGUAGGCGGUCUAUUAAGUCAGGUGUGAAAGCGUGAGGCUUAACCUCAUUAAGCACUUGAAACUGAUAGACUUGAGUGAAGGAGAGGAAAGUGGAAUUCCUAGUGUAGCGGUGAAAUUCGUAGAUAUUAGGAGGAAUACCGGUGGCGAAGGCGACUUUCUGGACUUUUACUGACGCUCAGGUACGAAAGCGUGGGGAGCAAACAGG